UGUUCUUGUCAUACAGAUAACCUAAUGAAUGUCUAAUGAGAGUUCUUAUAACUGCUUGUACCAAAAUUUUCCACUGGGAAAAUUUUGCUUCAUAACUUCCCUAAUUUCCCCUGUACUUUGUAGACUGGAUGACACAGAAUUCCAUGGAAUUUCACUGCUGAACCAGUAAAGUGCUGAUGUUGUCAUUUGUACUAGUUAACUUUUUUGGGAAGAAAGAACAUAAUACACUCCUUAGGAUAAUAUGGACCAAGAAUUGGGCUUCAUAUGGAUGAAUUUAUUUUUUCUUGUGUUGAGACAUUUAGGAAAAGUAUAGAGAAUAAUCCCAUCCUGAAAAGUCAGUGGGAAUUCUAAUAUUGAUUAAGGAUAAUAUUGGAACUGCUUGGAAUUCUUACCACUGCUCCAAUGAACUGCUGAUUUUGUCAUAUGCACCAGAUCUCAGGCAGUGAGCAGAAAAAUGCACUUCAGAGGUCAAUGUAGAUCAAGAAGUAGACUUCAUGUAAAAGAGUUUAUUCCUGACCGUGUUUGGUGGCUCAGCUUGUAAUUCCACACCUUGGGAGGCUGAGAUCAGAAGUGAUACUAGUGGAAAGGAACGAUUUUCUGCUUGGAAUUCUGACCCCCCCGCCCAACAAAGAAGGGCUGUUUUUGUCAUUUGCAGCAGUUUCUUUCUCUGACAUACUGUCUACCCCCAGGACCUAUGAUGAUAGAUCCUAGAAGGGAAGGGAACCUGUCCAUGCCCUUGCCUUGACUCUUGAAUGUUAGUUACAGAUGAGCAGCUGACAACUUACUUCCCAGUCAGUGGUUCUCCAUUCCUAUGAAUGAUCUCUUGGACACCCUUUUAGUAGACACCUAUCUGAGAAUUCUUCUGAGAGAGAAUGAUACCAAUAAAUCCCUGAAACAGGACUCCUCAGACAAGAGCCUCUUCACCUACCUAUAUUCCAAGAGCUACCACUGAAGGUGAUGACCACAAAGACGAGAUGCAUUGUUAGAGUUGGUGCCAUUCCUUCUACCACCAGCUUCACCAAAACAAUGAUACAGUCUUCCUUAUGUAUGGAGACUCCUCUCUUUCCUGGUUUGCAGCGGAUACCUCCUGCAGAUAAGAAAUGCUUAACUGAGAAAUGCUCAUGUUGCGAUAUCAUCGAUGAGACUUUAAUUUGGGCAUGGUGACUGUUUCCCUUGCUGCCACUUGACUCAAUCCCAGGAGCCUCCUCAGUAGAGGAUAUAAUAUUACACAAGAUGCUCAAAAUGGUGGAAUUGCUCAGUGCUCCCAUAAAUAUACAUUUACAAUUUUCAUUUGCCACAUGAUAAACUGAAAAAAAUAGAAUAUUUAAAAAAGAAACUCUGCAUGAUUUUUUCAAAAAUUCAAAACAUAUUUACAUAACAUAUAUAAAUUAAAUGUCUUUUCUUUCAAAUCUGUCCCUAUAGUUUUUCUCUAUUAAGGGAGUUGUGUGCAUUCUUUUAGUGGAUAGGUGCACACAAACACACACAAACUAUUUUGGGGACGGGGAACUGCGAGUGUGGUCAUAUUGUAACAUAUUUUCCUGCAAAAUGCCUUUCAGUGGUCUUUUCAAUGGUCUUUUUCUUUUUCAGUAAUGCAUACACAUUUGUGUCAUUUGUUGAAUGACAGCAUGACUGAUUUGUAGAUGAAAUAUAAUUAAAUGUUUUAAACAUUUAUUAUUCAUAGUUAUUUAUGUUAGUACCAAAUUUCUGUGCAAUGAACCUCCCUAUAUAUUAAUAAUUUGCAUUUGUCUAUUAUAAUAAAUUACUUAGUAGUUGCUUUACUGGAAUUCAGUAUAUGCACACUUCAAAUUUUGAAAAUUAUUGCACAAUUUUCUUUUAAAAUGUGGUUAACUUUAUCCUCAAAUGGCAACGAAUGAUAUUGCCACCUUCCCUGCAACUUCACAGACAAUGGAUUUUACAAAUAUUUACAAUUUUUGCCAAUGUGAUCACCUAAGCUAUUGUCUUAAAUUGUAUUCCUUUUGUUUUUGAGUUUGAUCAUUUUUCAUAUGUUUAUUAGUCAUCUGUAUUUUUUAAUUUCCUCUUUAUGUCCAAUUUUGUGGGUGGGAGGAGGUUUUAGUCUCUUCUUGAUUUUGAAGAGGUCAUUUACUAAUUGGGGAAAUAAGCUUUGAAUUGUGAAGCACUGCAGAUAUUUUUUACACACUUUUAAACUUUGUUUUUGUUAUAAGAAUGUGUAUGAUUGUUAUAUGUCCAAGUAUAACCAUGUUUGCUUUUAUGGCUUCUGAGUUUCAUGUCAUUUUUGGAAAGAUAUUUAUACUGAGUCCAUAAAAUCCUUCACCUAUGUUAA